CAGGGGUGACGUUGCAGGCGUAUUGCACGAGAAAGGCGCAGGACACCACGGGGCGCAACAGAAGCUCAGCGGUGUUUUGAGGCCAAAAUCGAAAUUUCCUCUCUCGAUUCAAAUUGAAGCCCUUUGGUUCUUCUGCAAAACCUAGCGGCAAGAAGCCGCAGAGAGUUGUAUGUUUGCUUUUAGAGCUUCUUGUGGUUGUCAUUUUUGGAAGGGAAGAUAGAGAACAGGAAUGGGAGACAGUAUUUGUUACUUUCUAUUUACCUCAUUCGAGCAGUUUGAUUCAGGUUAUUCACAUUGUGCUACACCAGUUGAGAGCCGCAGCAAAUCAAGCCAAGUUCGGCAUUUCGCCUGCAGCAAAAUCUUGAAGUAGAAGUUCAUGUAGAGGAAUAUCAAAUCAAUGCUCGAGAGCGAAAAAAAUGUUGGCCAAUACCUUCCAUGAAAAUUGUUUGAGGCACAACUAAACAUGAAUUGAAGACUGAUGGGGGAACUUUUGGCUUAAAGCCAGAAUGCCCAGCACACAGAGGAAGUUCUUAUAUGGAUUAGUCUUCUCGCCCUUCCACAACAUCACGACCUCAACGUGCAGAUUUUUUAUUAUUAUCUUGGAGGAAAUAGAAAAGAUAAAAAAAAGAGAUAUCAGUGAUUCACAACGGGAUCAGUAACAUCACUGAUCAGUUUGAUCAUCUGGAUUGGCAGAUGAAACAACAAUCAGAUCAUGUUGUUGUACUCCAUGAUGCACAGGUCCAAAUGUACAACAAGAAUUGUUGGAUCGAGAAAGAUUCCGAGGAGUUUCCGAACUAUCCCUUCUACAACUUGUACGUUCAUCAGUCAAUUGGUGAUAUUGGAGAAGUGGAUAGUGAGGUUGAUGAUAAUAUGUAGUGGAUUUUUCGUAAUAGCUUUGAUGUGUGCUUGUAAGUUCUUGGUUCCGUGGAGUAUUAGCUCUAAUGUGUGCUUGUAGGCUUUCUAAUAUUUUGAGUCGUGUGCUUAGUAGUUUUUGUGUGAAGUUAGAAGUUAUGUUUUAAAGGUUGUGAGUGAAUUAUAAUGUGUGUUUGAAUGGGGAUUAGAUUUAUGUUUGAAUAAAAGUGAUUGUUGGUGUUUGUUAAAAUUAUAUGUUGGAAGAUGUUUAAAUAUGUUGAAUUAAGCUUACUAGUGUUCGUAGUGCCUUGGUGUGCAGUGCU